GAUGAACGCUGGCGGCGUGCCUAAUACAUGCAAGUCGAGCGAACAGACGAGGGGCUUGCUCCUCUGACGUUAGCGGCGGACGGGUGAGUAACACGUGGAUAACCUACCUAUAAGACUGGGAUAACUUCGGGAAACCGGAGCUAAUACCGGAUAAUAUAUUGAACCGCAUGGUUCAAUAGUGAAAUACGGUUUUGCUGUCACUUAUAGAUGGAUCCGCGCCGCAUUAGCUAGUUGGUAAGGUAACGGCUUACCAAGGCAACGAUGCGUAGCCGACCUGAGAGGGUGAUCGGCCACACUGGAACUGAGACACGGUCCAGACCCCUACGGGAGGCAGCAGUAGGGAAUCUUCCGCAAUGGGCGAAAGCCUGACGGAGCAACGCCGCGUGAGUGAUGAAGGUCUUCGGAUCGUAAAACUCUGUUAUUAGGGAAGAACAAAUGUGUAAGUAACUAUGCACGUCUUGACGGUACCUAAUCAGAAAGCCACGGCUAACUACGUG
rnacentral:rRNA from 1 species